rnacentral:tRNA from 1 species
UCUCGAUUGGUCUAGUGGUUAGGAUACCUGCUUGUCAAUAGUAACAAGCCGCAGGUGGCCGGGGUUCGAUUCCCCGAUCGAGAG